CAGUGCAUGGCCUUGGUGUUCAGUAAACGCUGAACAGAACGCAUAGCAGGAGCCUCAAGGACACUGAGGCCAGCAGGGGACCCCUCCAGGGAGGUGAGCCUCACUGGUGUUGGGAUCUACUGGCAUUGCUGAACUGAAGGUACUGGAACACUAUGCAGAGGUUGACAGAGGGGAGCCCAAAACUUUCAAGGCCCACUAGGAAACCCAGAGGCCAAUUUCCUACAAAUCACAGCAAAAAAGAGUCUUUUUUUUUGCAUUCAACAAAAACUCCUCUCCUUUGCCUGGAGGACAUCUGAUUUCUUUUUUGUCUUUAUUUUCUAUUCCCGUGUAUACAACUAGUGAUAUCUUUAAAAUGUUCAAUAUAAGUUUAUUGAGCAAAUAAAACCUGCAAAUGGCGAUUUUCUCCAUAAAUUGGAGUACUUAAAUUGUCAUAACAUGCGUUUUGCACGUUGUUUUGACCAAAUGCCAAGAUGUUGCUACAGUGAAACUUCAAAUGCUGUCAUUAUGUAAAUAUUUCAUUUUAAGCCACGGAAAAUCCUUUUGGAGUCUAGAGAAGUAUAAAUUCCUGAAAAUGGGAAGAGGCUUAUCCUCUCUGGGCCUCAAGUUCCCCUGCUGUGAGGUUCUGACGAGAACGGUGUCUUCUCACUCAGGAGAUAGUAGAGACUGAAACUAUCUGGAGGUAUAUCUGUAGACAGAAAGUGACAUCAGUAGCAAGGCUUAGUAUCUCUUUGUGUUACUCCUGUGGGCAUCCCAAACCAAUGGACGAGCUAUUGGCCAUGGAGUUUGGAGUGGGUGCGGUCUUAAUUACCUAUGGCCUUUUCAACUCAAAGAUCUCAUAAGUAAGGGGCAUGCUUAUUCUUAGGUUAAGUUGGAAUUUAACAUGGUCAGUAAAAUUUUGUAUUUAUAGAGUAUAAUUGUUGCUCUCAAAUGUCAGUGUGAUGAAAUUUAUAAUAAUCUGGGGCAAGGACGUCCGAGUAUGUCUGUCAAUGACAUCAUCUUGAUGAAGUCAAUUGAUACGAGAAGACCACUGACCUGCAGAAGGAGAAAGUGAGCUGAACGCAAGCAUCCGUUACUCUCUCCUUCCUGACUGAAGACUUCUUGUGACUCUUCAAACUCUU